GAAAGUGCCUUCUCCUUCUUCUGUGGUUGUGUGAACACACUCAGAAGAAUUGGACAAACUGAGGAGGAGUUUCAAAAAGUGGAGGGUUUUAAAAAUUUCCCUCAUGUCCAAAUUCAACAUGAAGGAGGGUGGUCUGCUGCAGGAGGAGGCAUUUGAAAUGACUGCACUGUUCUCAGUCAUUAGAGAUGCUGUGAUGACCAUCUUCCCGGCAGCAACAGAGCUGGACUUGAGGAAUGCAUGUGGGAAGCAUUUUAAACAAGAAAUAAAACCAAUAAUGAAUAAUUUCCUUUAAGUUCACUGUUGGUUGUUUUAUUUGUUCAACUAAGUAAACCAACAAAAGGGUUAAUCUUGUUUUUAUGUUGUCAUUUAUCCGUAAUGUUUUCAUGUUAAGUGUGAUGACAUGCUCUUUUUUUUCUUUUAAAUAUCUUCCUUUUUAAAAAAAAAAAAAA